rnacentral:rRNA from 1 species
GUGCCCUACGGGAGGCAGCAGUAGGGAAUCUUCCGCAAUGGACGAAAGUCUGACGGAGCAACGCCGCGUGAGCGAAGAAGGCCUUCGGGUCGUAAAGCUCUGUUGUUAGGGAAGAACAAGUAGCGCAGUAACUGGCGUUACUUUGACGGUACCUAACGAGGAAGCCACGGCUAACUACGUGCCAGCAGCCGCGGUAAUACGUAGGUGGCAAGCGUUGUCCGGAAUUAUUGGGCGUAAAGCGCGCGCAGGCGGUUCCUUAAGUCUGAUGUGAAAGCCCACGGCUCAACCGUGGAGGGUCAUUGGAA